GGCAGGAAAGUUGAGAAUAGCAGGAG
rnacentral:misc_RNA from 1 species